AUGAAGAUGUGUCCCCACCCUCACCGUCCUGCCCCCUCUAGUGAGGAGCUGUCCAGUACAACAACAGCCACACUGACGUGUCUGGCCAACAAGGGCUUCCCCUCAGACUGGACCAUGAGCUGGAAAGUGGAUGGGACCAGCAAGAAGCAGGAGGCCAGUCCCGGGGUCCUGGAGAAGGACGGCCUGUACAGCUGGAGCAGCACCCUGACUCUCACUGCCCAGGAGUGGACCAAGGCAGGAGAGGUGACCUGUGAAGCCCAGCAGAAAUCCCAGACUCCAGUCACCAAGACCCUGAGGAGGGCUGACUGUUCUGGGUAGGACCCCUCAGUCACACAGCCCUGUGGAGAGAGGCUGCUGGUUCCUCUGCUUUGACUCUGUUCUGAGAUCAGAUGUUCUCUG